rnacentral:rRNA from 1 species
ACGAACGCUGGCGGCUGCUUAACACAUGCAAGUCGAACGGAGUGGCGAACGGGUGAGUAACGCGUGAGCAACCUGACUAUGACAGUGGGAUAGCCUCGGGAAACCGGGAUUAAUACCGCAUAGUCAUAGAUGGGGUCGCGUCUGAUUAGCUCAUUGGUGAGAUAACAGCCCACCAAGGCGACGAUCAGUAGCCGGCCUGAGAUGAUGAACGGCCACAUUGGAACUGGGACACGGUCCAAACUCCUACGGGAGGCAGCAGUGGGGAAUAUUGCACAAUGGGGGAAACCCUGAUGCAGCGACGCCGCGUGAACGAAGAAGGUAUUCGUAUCGUAAAGUUCUGUCCUAUGGGAAGCAGUACCAUAGAAGAAAGCGCCGGCUAAAUACGUGCCAGCAGCCGCGGUAAUUC